UACGUAUGGAGCAAGCGUUAUCCGGAUUUACUGGGUGUAAAGGGUGCGUAGGUGGCAGUGCAAGUCAGAUGUGAAAGGCCAGGGCUCAACCCCGGAGCUGCAUUUGAAACUGCUCGGCUAGAGUACAGGAGAGGCAGGCGGAAUUCCUAGUGUAGCGGUGAAAUGCGUAGAUAUUAGGAGGAACACCAGUGGCGAAGGCGGCCUGCUGGACUGUUACUGACACUGAGGCACGAAAGCGUGGGGAGCAAACAGG
rnacentral:rRNA from 1 species